CAGCCUGCAGCAGGCUGGCCUUGCUCUCUCUACCUGACCGUCCUGGUGGAGCAAUAUUGUCCCGAUUGUUGCAGGAAGGAUCAGAGCUAUAUGUGGACGCAGUGGCUGCUCUCCUCCCCUCCUUGUGCUGUGUAGCACAUAGUGCAUUUGUAUUCCAGAUCACAUGCAGACAGUAACCUGUAACUCUCAGGAAUGAAAUGAUGAUGGUGAUUGCUGCAUGACCUAAUUGCUGUAAGACAAUUGCCAAGGUAAUGCAAUACCUUCAGUAGCAAUUUUGUGGCUUAUUUUGUUAAUAUGGUUUAUUUUUGCCCUAUUAGGAGGAGCUCUGACCUACUGCUGUUUUUGUCCCUAUUUAAUUUACUUUGUAUAUUUUUGGGGUUAUUUUGCUUUAUUAUACUACCUGUGAGUGAUUUUUAUAUAGUUGUUGGUGCCAGUACAGGUGGGCUGCCAUAUUUCUGUAGGCGGUGAGUCACAUGGUGGAGGUCUUCCUUUUUGUCUGCUUCUCCCCUGCCUGUGUUUUGCAUGUAUAAUUUACAGCAUUUUGCAUGAUUAUUUUGAUUUUGUGUUAAACUUAUUGCGUGUCUUUU